rnacentral:misc_RNA from 1 species
GAGUAUGCGCAUGAGAAGGCCCAGAAGUACAAGGAAGGAAAAUUCAUCCUUGAGAGGUGAGUAUCACUCUUUAUUAUGGUUUGCAUAAAGUUAUUUUUGAGACUGGAAUUUAUUGUUCAGCAGGUAUAAGAUUUUGGGUCCUGAUGGAAGCAACUACAUGGGUGGUCAAGAGGCUCAAGCUAUAGGGAGUGAUGCUGAUGAUGCUUGAUUGGCUAUAUAGCGUGGAAUGAUUUUACAUAAUGUACAUUUUCUACUUCCCGUGUUAAUUUCCAUACUUACUGAAGUGGUUCUAAAUUUGGCAUCUUUGCUUAGUCUUUUUCCCUAUUCCCAAUCAACUUGCUAAUGAAAUUUCACGGAAGUAGUUUGCCAUUUGCAUUGGUAAACUUUGAAUUCAGUUUAGCGUUUACUUGUUCACUAUUCUAUCAGAAAGGCCUGCCAUUAAAA